AUUGAACGCUGGCGGCAGGCUUAACACAUGCAAGUCGAGCGGGGGAGGUUGCUUCGGUAACUGACCUAGCGGCGGACGGGUGAGUAAUGCUUAGGAAUCUGCCUAUUAGUGGGGGACAACAUCUCGAAAGGGAUGCUAAUACCGCAUACGUCCUACGGGAGAAAGCAGGGGACCUUCGGGCCUUGCGCUAAUAGAUGAGCCUAAGUCGGAUUAGCUAGUUGGUGGGGUAAAGGCCUACCAAGGCGACGAUCUGUAGCGGGUCUGAGAGGAGGAUCCGCCACACUGGGACUGAGACACGGCCCAGACGCCUACGGGAGGCAGCAGUGGGGAAUAUUGGACAAUGGGGGGAACCCUGAUCCAGCCAUGCCGCGUGUGUGAAGAAGGCCUUUUGGUUGUAAAGCACUUUAAGCGAGGAGGAGGCUACUGGUAUUAAUACUACCGGAUAGUGGACGUUACUCGCAGAAUAAGCACCGGCUAACUCUGUGCCAGCCGCCGCCGUAAGAC
rnacentral:rRNA from 1 species